UGACAGUACUCCUACGGGGAGGCAGCAGUGGGGGAAUAUUGCACAAUGGGCGCAAGCCUGAUGCAGCCAUGCCGCGUGUGUGAAGAAGGCCUUCGGGUUGUAAAGCACUUUCAGUCGUGAGGAAGGUAGUGUAGUUAAUAGCUGCAUUAUUUGACGUUAGCGACAGAAGAAGCACCGGCUAACUCCGUGCCAGCAGCCGCGGUAAUACGGAGGGUGCGAGCGUUAAUCGGAAUUACUGGGCGUAAAGCGCAUGCAGGUGGUUUGUUAAGUCAGAUGUGAAAGCCCGGGGCUCAACCUCGGAAUAGCAUUUGAAACUGGCAGACUAGAGUACUGUAGAGGGGGGUAGGAAUUUCAGGUGUAGCGGUGAAAUGCGUAGAGAUCUGAAGGAAUACCGGUGGCGAAGGCGGCCCCCUCGGACAGAUACUGACACUCAGAUGCGAAAGCGUGGGGAGCAAACAGGAUUAGAUACCCUGGUAG
rnacentral:rRNA from 1 species